GAUGAACGCUGGCGACGUGGAUAAGGCAUGCAAGUCAAACGGUCUACUUUAGCAAUAUUGUAGAUAGUGGCAAACGAGGUAGUAACACGUAGGUACGUACCCUAAAGUUUCGAAUAAUUCGCCGAAAGGCGGACUAAUACGAGAUAGUCUCCAAGGAGUAAAGUCGUAAGACGCUUAAGGAACGGCCUGCGGGAUAUCAGCUUGUUGGUAGUGUAAAAGACUACCAAGGCUAUGACGUCUAGGGGAGGUGAGAGCCUGACCCCCACCGAUGGAACUGAGAUACGGUCCAUACACCUACGGGUGGCCGCAGUCGAGAAUCUUCCGCAAUGGGCGAAAGCCUGACGGAGCGACGUCGCGUGGUUGAUGAAGUCUCUAGGGAUGUAAAAACCUUUUAUGAGGGAGAAAGUUAUUGAUAGUACCUCAUGAAUAAGGGGUUGCUAAACUCGUGCCAGCAGCAGCGGUAAUACGAGUGCCCCAAGCCGUUAUUCCGGAAUUAUUGGGCGUAAAGGGUGUGUAGGUGGUUUUGUUAGUCUCUUGUUAAAGCUCUCGGCUUAACCGGGAACAUGCAGGGAACCGGCAAAACUAGAGGAUGCGAGAGGUGAAUGGAACUCAUGGUGUAGGGGUGAAAUCCGUUGAUAUCAUGGGGAACACCAAAAGCGAAGGCAAUUCACUGGCGCACUCCUGACACUGAAACACGAAAGCGUGGGUAGCGAAUGGGAUUAGAUACCCCAGUAGUCCACGCCCUAAACGAUGUUCAUUAGCUAUUCGGAGUAUCGACCCUCUGAGUGGCGUAGCUAACGCGUUAAAUGAACCGCCUGGGUAGUACGGCCGCAAGGCUAAAACUCAAAGGAAUAGACGGGGACUUGCACAAGCAGUGGAUUAUGUGGCUUAAUUCGACGCCAAACGAAGAACCUUACCAGGGUUUGAAACCUAACUGAAAGCUCCGGGAAACCGGAGCCCUCGCAAGACUGUUAGGCAGGUGAUGCAUGGCCGUCGUCAGUUCGUGGUUUGAAUUGUUCCCUUAAGUGGGGCAACG
rnacentral:rRNA from 1 species